rnacentral:lncRNA from 1 species
CAACAAAAACCUCGUCAAAAAAGGAUUGCCUCAUGGCAGUGAUUUGUUCACUCAUGGGAUGACCGUUUGCUAUACGAGAGGAUUGCGAAUCAGAUUUAAUGAAAGUGGAGCGAAAAGUUGUUGGAGUAGAAGGAAAUUGGAAGAGUUGAUAGAAGAAUGAUGGUAAUUGAAAUGAAGAAAUGUGUAUGUAUAUAUAGCCAAUAAAGGAAAGCAUCCAACAUUAAUAGGAGAUCCGAAGAAGUUAGAUUACAAGAUUUACAUUGAGUAUCAUGAGAAGAGAAUCAUACUAUAAUAAAUUUGUAUUUACUAUUCAUAUCUAUUGAUUAGGAAAUUCAUAAGAUUGCUAUGUUUUAUGGACUUGAGAUAAUUAAUUAUGGUGAU